rnacentral:lncRNA from 1 species
AUGUUCUCUCACACUUUUACUGCAACCAAAUCGUCUUGUGACGUACUUCCUGUUCCCUUUCAGGCGCAUAAUCUUUCCCAUCGCCCUACGCUAUUGGUGCAUAAAGCUGGAUGCCUCUCCAAUACAAAGAAUAGGAGAGCCUUUGGGCACAGAAGACUGGAGUCUCAGAUCAGGACGUUCACCCAGAACCGAGCAGCUGAGUACACCUCAUGGAGUUGUUUUAUUAUGGAGAACUAUGGAAAACUGGAAAAAGAAGGUAAAAAACCCAAAAGAGUCAGGAAUCAGCACAGUGUGACGUUGGGACAAAGGAUUCCACGGCCCCAUGUUAAUUAUUUACUAUAACAUGGAUUACUAUGACCAUAAACCAGCAAAGGUAAGACUACAUUUGUGCUUUUGUUUUCAUGAAAUAAACUUUGUUUUGCUUUUCAUUUAGCAGCUAUUGUCAUUGGGUGUUGUUGAUUAAAAAUGUGGAUUCUAUUGUUUAGAUGAGCCUCUUCCUGUUAGGUACAGGUGAAGUUUGCAUUAAUUGCUGAAUAUUUAGCAUGUUUUUGGAACAACUUUGUUGGUGAAGUGCUCGUGGACCCGGUGCUGGGUCCGUCGGGUUCAAGUUGUGUGAAGCAUAAGAAUGGACAUUUGGCGGCCAUAGUGGUGAUGUGUGGUCAUCGCAUCUGAAAAACUGAAAAAUAUCUUAGUGUUGUGGUAAACCCAGCUAUGUGUGUACAGAGUCUCAGGGUUAGUCUUAGGUCACACCCUUGACAGAGGCAGAAGUAAAACCAUAUUCAUAAAUAAAUAAUAUAUCAGCCUUAAAUGAUCAGAUCAUCUAAAAAUGUAUCAUCAUCAACAAAUAAAACGUGAAUUCACAGGUAAAAGCAUUUUGUUUCCGUAGUAAUGAUGUUUAUGAGUUUUUGUUUCUCUAGUCAUUCAGUCAAUUUUGUGAUUGUGAGAAAAUUCUGAUGUCAGCCUACCAGAUCUCUCCGGUUUUUUAGGGAUAAUUCUUGCAGCUUUGAAAUGCAGAAAAAUAUACCUAAAAUGAUAAAAACAAUCAUCUUAAUAAUCUGUUUUGCAAGCUUGUGACUUUUUAGCAGCUUUUUAACACAAGCCUGAAGGAGUUCUGCUGUGUGGUGGAGUUGCUAACGCUAACAGUCAUCUUCUACUAAACCAAGAGGUUAUCUGCUGUUUCCUGGGCGCUAAACCAACAACAGCCUUCCCCAUCACGAGUCAAGAUGGGUGAGUCCAUGACUGUUAAAGGGGCAUUAUUAUCUGAGGCUUAAUUUUUAUUCUUACUCAGGAAAAGUCAAAUACUUGAAAUUAUAAAUCCAACUAGGUUCCUUUUGACGCCCACUGGCCUUACCUUCCCGUCUUUCUGUUGUGCAUGUAGUUGGUUCGAACAUGGAUAGAAAACUGUAAACUUUAGUAAAAAGAUGUAAUAACUUCCCACAUUCUACCCUCCCUGUUAACUGUGUAUACUUUGUGUUUGCUGCUGCUGGGAUUUGAUGACAAUAGGAAUACACAGAACAUAGUUUUUAUUCAGGUUUGGUAAAGAAAACAAUAAAACAUAACAGAUAAAGCCUUGGUAACAGACACUCUGAGGUCAGCUGAACAGUCUUUGAUAAUGACUGUGAAGAUGAUCCAAUAUGGCCACACCAUUCAGGUAUAAAAAACUGGUUGUUUGUCAGAAUGAACAUUAAUAAAUACGUAUAAAAUGAAUAAGUGAAGCUGGAAAAACAUACAUCAAUAAAUAAUAACAAAAAUCACUGCUUCAAUGACGUACUA